rnacentral:misc_RNA from 1 species
ACCGGAACUACUGCUAUGCCACGCUGCAAAUAGAAUCCAUGUCCAGUUUCAAAAUGAAGUAGCAAACAAGCAAACAAAGAGAAGAACCAGCAUUCUGCUCAGUUGACUUCGUAUGAUGAACUGAAGAUAAUGAAGUGGAUGCAAAGUGGCUUGAAAAGCUGUGGUUACAGAAGCAAUGAUGGGUAGCAUUUUUGUGAACGCCAUUGUGUCUUCAUCAUACAAUGAACAACAAAUUAUUAAAACCUUGAAACAUCAACACCAAUGAACACUAAUCGAAAUAUCACUUUUCGUUAGUGAAGACAGACACGAGCUCAUGAUGUCCUACAUUCAGAAAAUCCAAAACAAGAGCUUUUAUCAAAUUUAGCUAUCCCUGAUAGUUCAUAAUAUCCAAUAGCACAUUUAAAUUGAACCUGCUAUUGGUUAUAGUAUAGUUGUUUCAAGCCACAAAGAAAGAAAAGGCAGAAGGCGUUCCUCAAGUAGAUAAUGUUUGAAGCAACGUGUUUAUCAAAUUCCAUGUAGCAAUGACUGCGUUUAACCAAUUUUGAUCAGGGUUAUCUGAGUUUAAUUACAAAAUCAUAUAUCAAGUGAUCCAUCUGUAGGCUAAUUGUUAUUGUCAACCAUGUACCAUCGAAUCAUCACUGCUAAAAGGGCAGCAACUUAUUAGAAAUGGAAUUUGCAUACCAAAGUUAUAAAUGGUUCAAGAAC